UAAGACUGGGAUAACUUCGGGAAACCGGAGCUAAUACCGGAUAAUAUUUUGAACCGCAUGGUUCAAAAGUGAAAGACGGUCUUGCUGUCACUUAUAGAUGGAUCCGCGCUGCAUUAGCUAGUUGGUAAGGUAACGGCUUACCAAGGCAACGAUGCAUAGCCGACCUGAGAGGGUGAUCGGCCACACUGGAACUGAGACACGGUCCAGACUCCUACGGGAGGCAGCAGUAGGGAAUCUUCCGCAAUGGGCGAAAGCCUGACGGAGCAACGCCGCGUGAGUGAUGAAGGUCUUCGGAUCGUAAAACUCUGUUAUUAGGGAAGAACAUAUGUGUAAGUAACUGUGCACAUCUUGACGGUACCUAAUCAGAAAGCCACGGCUAACUACGUGCCAGCAGCCGCGGUAAUACGUAGGUGGCAAGCGUUAUCCGGAAUUAUUGGGCGUAAAGCGCGCGUAGGCGGUUUUUUAAGUCUGAUGUGAAAGCCCACGGCUCAACCGUGGAGGGUCAUUGGAAACUGGAAAACUUGAGUGCAGAAGAGGAAAGUGGAAUUCCAUGUGUAGCGGUGAAAUGCGCAGAGAUAUGGAGGAACACCAGUGGCGAAGGCGACUUUCUGGUCUGUAACUGACGCUGAUGUGCGAAAGCGUGGGGAUCAAACAGGAUUAGAUACCCUGGUAGUCCACGCCGUAAACGAUGAGUGCUAAGUGUUAGGGGGUUUCCGCCCCUUAGUGCUGCAGCUAACGCAUUAAGCACUCCGCCUGGGGAGUACGACCGCAAGGUUGAAACUCAAAGGAAUUGACGGGGACCCGCACAAGCGGUGGAGCAUGUGGUUUAAUUCGAAGCAACGCGAAGAACCUUACCAAAUCUUGACAUCCUUUGACAACUCUAGAGAUAGAGCCUUUCCCUUCGGGGGACAAAGUGACAGGUGGUGCAUGGUUGUCGUCAGCUCGUGUCGUGAGAUGUUGGGUUAAGUCCCGCAACGAGCGCAACCCUUAAGCUUAGUUGCCAUCAUUAAGUUGGGCACUCUAAGUUGACUGCCGGUGACAAACCGGAGGAAGGUGGGGAUGACGUCAAAUCAUCAUGCCCCUUAUGAUUUGGGCUACACACGUGCUACAAUGGACAAUACAAAGGGCAGCGAAACCGCGAGGUCAAGCAAAUCCCAUAAAGUUGUUCUCAGUUCGGAUUG
rnacentral:rRNA from 1 species